rnacentral:ncRNA from 1 species
UAAAUAAUGUCGCCGGACAUAACAAGCAAUUAACAACUCUCUUAGGCCAAUGUGAGAGUUGUUAAUUGCUUCUUUUUUUU